rnacentral:rRNA from 1 species
CAGUCGCCACGGUAAUACGAAGGGGGCUAGCGUUGUUCGGAAUUACUGGGCGUAAAGCGCACGUAGGCGGACAUUUAAGUCAGGGGUGAAAUCCCGGGGCUCAACCCCGGAACUGCCUUUGAUACUGGGUGUCUAGAGUAUGGAAGAGGUGAGUGGAAUUCCGAGUGUAGAGGUGAAAUUCGUAGAUAUUCGGAGGAACACCAGUGGCGAAGGCGGCUCACUGGUCCAUUACUGACGCUGAGGUGCGAAAGCGUGGGGAGCAAACAGGAUUAGAUACCCCUGUAGUCCCUGUCUCUUAUAC